CACUGACUUUGGACUCUGCUGAAAUCCCUGCCGCGCCACUCAUAGUGUUUAACAUUAAAUAACAUCAUAUUUGUCCUAAACCGUUAACAAUUAACAUAGGCUGCUAACGCAUAUUCUGGAUCUUGAAAUAGACUUUGACUAAGUUCACGCUAUUUAACGUGCACGUGCGGUGUGCAAUACCUGCGAGUUGUCCUACACGCGACGCCUCGCAACGCUGCGCUUCUCGCCCCGAUUGCGACCCCUUGAAGCACCCGGCUAGCCUUUCAAGAGACAAACAACUUGCGCCAGGUCAUCUGAUAAAGCAGUUGGGAUGGAAAGGUUAAAGAUCGAUUCCAUCAAAAGCACAGCCAGCAGAAAAACAGCAUUGGGUCAAAUGUGAUGUGAAAGGAGAAUUGCUGCUUUUGAAGUCACACUCCAGUUCAGAAUGACUCGGUUCACAUCAAAGGAUACCGGAUUUUAUUUUUCCCACUAAGAGAGGAUCUGUUUAGACCUGGAUUUCUCAUCAUAUCUUCUAUGCGGGAUGAAGGAGUUCAUCAGAUCUCUUGUGAGGCAGAACCGUUGUCCUGCAUCUCAGAUUUACUGCUGGGGAGAGCCUGUGAGAGGAGCUGAACAUGAGACGUGAAGGAGACUGGGGUCUAAACAUGUUUCAAUGGGAUAACAAAGACUUAAAGUCAAGUAAAACAUCAGGACUACAGUACAUUGGGAUGCAUGGCGAAGCUUCGGCACUUGCCUUUAAGCAGAAGAGAAGCUCACAUCACCAUCACCCCACUGUUUGAUGAUGUGCCAAGAGGAAUCACGUGGAUGGACGAGAGAGCACCAAAAUCUAAUAUGAAUAUGUAUGACUUAAUCCAACCACUGCACCGACAUGUGUGUGUGCAUCUAUGCUGAUUUAAAAUGUUUUGCCUGUAUAGCACACAACCUUUGCUUUAUUAUUAUUAUUCCAUUAUACAGGAUGCUUAUAGUAAUAUGUUUAAGUGGCUAUAGUUGAGACAUACCAUAGAUAUAUAAAAUAUUUAAGUAUAUCUUAUUCUAUAACUGAUCACUGUUUUAAAGGUAUAAAUCAUUUAAAUAUAUUGACACAGCACCAUAUAUAACUAAUGCAGUUUGUCAUUCAUGAUGUGGUCUUUAAGUCAACAUAGUGAAUAUAUCCAUAAGCCUCUCAUAUGACUAUAUUACCUCUUUCUGUCAGGCUUUUGGUCUGUUAUAAACCCUACACUGUUGAAAAUGUAUGUAGAAAUGACAGUAUUACUGGCAGCUGUUUGCCAGUAACUUACUGUAGAUUUAAAUAUAUGUUAUUUACGGGUAACGGUUUGUUCAAAGUAAAUGAACAUUAAACAUUAACAAGUCUUUAUAUUUACAGAAUAAAACUAAAAUUACAGCCUCAUGCAAAGCAUUAUGUAAACCAAAAUCUGAACGUUUAAUUUUCAUUUAACUUUGAACAAACUGUUGCCAGUAAAUAACAUCAAUUUAAAUCUACAGUAAGUUACUGGCAAACAGUUGCGUAACUACAGCCCAAAAAGCAUAUCAUUAAUUAUUACUUCAGUAAUAUUUCCUGUAUGAAUACACAAUGGUGAUGCAUAAAAUUUAUUUAAUACAUUUUAUUUUUAAAUUGAUUUAAAAAUAACAGAGGGGCAGAGGGGCACAUGUACCAUUUCCUUAAUAAUGAUAAAAACUUUAUUAGUUAACUGCAUUUGAAAUAGGAGAACAUCUCAAAGUAAUGGCAUCACAUUUGAAAUUAUAUUACAGAGUAAUGUUAGCCUUUAUAUGAUAAGAAGUAUUUAUUAAUUCCAGCUGGCCAAGUUGGACAUGCAUUCAAGUUAUGUGACUAAAUGCUUUUAACUAAAUAUAAAUAGUAACAAUUUACAGUAAGCUUGGAUUUGUUAAAGGGGACAUAUCAUAAAAAUCUGACUUUUCCCAUAUUUAAGUGCUAUAAUUGGGUC